CCAUGUCUACACUACCCGCUGCAUCGGCAGGUACUGAUCGAUCUAUCAGGGAUCGAUUUAGCUCGUCUAGUGUAGACGCGAUAAAUCGAUCCCCGAUUGCUCUGCCGUCGACUCCGGAACUCCCCACUGCAAGAGGCGGAAGUGGAGUCGACGUGGGAGCGGCGGCCCUCGAUCCCGCGCUGCGAGGAUGCUAACAGGAAGAGGAGAACUGAAAUACCUUUUUCAUAAGCCCACAUCAAACAGGUCUGCUCAUCUUUUUCUCCACUAGACCUGCUGGGAUCACAGGCUACCAGAUUCAUAUCAGCUCCAUUAUCCAGUAAAAACUGUACUAGACGAAUGUGACCAUGGUAGCAAGCACAGUGUAAUCCUAGAACAUUAGAGAAGAAAGAACAGUAACUGUGAGUCCUGAGAGAAUUGAAUUGAAUGUCCAACCAAGUCAGUAUAUAUUAAAAUGAAGAGGUCAAACUCAUGAAACAUAUUGCUGAAUUUCUGAGUCUCGUGAGAUCACAUGGAAAGCGUCUCCCUGGGCAAAAUCCUGACUCAACAGAAAUCAAUGGAAGUUUUCCCACUGACUCUAUGGGGCCAGGAAUUUAUGCAAUGUAUUUGGGAUAUAAGUGUGUUAAUGGUAGUAAUAUUAAAGUCAAUAGCUUUAUUAAAAAUAAGUACUUUUU